rnacentral:lncRNA from 1 species
UCAGAGCACUCGGGACAAACGCGCGCUUGCGCUCGGUCAGGCGCUCGUGCAGAGCGCUAAAGUGCAGAAAUAAAAGAGUUUACUCAUAGUUUACCUGUGCUGUCUGGCUGACUUCUGGCAGUUUGAAGCGCAACACGGCCGCGACUGUCAGGAAAACAAACACAAAUCAGCACGUGCGUCACUUCCGGGAAAUAAGCGCGGGGAGCAAAAUAAAAGCUCUGACGCGACUGCACUUUAAAAAUACCUUUUAUCUUAAAACUACACCUCAGGUGCAGAUAAUAUGUGUGUGUGCAUUAAAUAGUAUAAUAAUAUUAAAUAAUUGAAUAAUACUAAUAAUCAGAAUAUUAAGCCUUUGAAUCUUUGUUUGUUUUUAAAUUACCUUUUUUAUUUCUACUCUUUAAGCCCUGAUGAAGCCGAAAUAACAAUUCAAAUAAUAACAUUAUUCAAACGAAAGCGUUGCUGUCUCUGUCUGUCUUCAGGUCUUCAGACGCAAAUGCGUCCGUUGAACUACACCUCCCACAAUGCACCGCGGGGUUAGAGGGCGCGUCGCCAUGGCAGCGGCUGGUUGUGACAUCAGCGCCAUUUUGCUUGAGUGUUGUGAUGGAAGCAGCGAGAAAAUCAGAAUCCGACGGAAAAACACCGAAAAUCAGACAAGUUCAGACCAGAGGGAGUCGAUUCGGCGAAUCAGACCGAGUCGCGUCGAGAACCGCACAGGAUCUGGACGUUAGUCGCAGCGAUCUGCGAGGACAGGGUCAAGUGUUUUCCUCUGGACUGCAGGUCUGUGGCCGCAUCAUGUGACGCUUCCCGUCCCUCAUCACCAUGAGCGAUUCCCGUGCGCCCCUGCCUCCGUCUGGACUCUGAUCAGCAGCAUCCAUGAUGAUUUAUGGGCUGAUUCCUCAGGAGUUACACGCGCAGCUCCUGGACCUCCAGAACUAUCAGAAGCGGACCAGCGGCGUGGAGCAGCUGAAGAGCCUCCUCCUGGAGCUGGAUCUCCAGCAGGUCACCUGAGAUCUCUAAAAGUUUCUCAGGCUUUGAAGCCAUCAGACUCUGCUGUCCCUCAAUCUGCUGCACGUCUUCUGUCUCUGAUUGAGAGUUUAGAGUGUGUUAUCCAGUCGAAGCUCUUUCAGUGUAAUUCUGGAUCUUGACUGGUUUUGAUCA